GCAAAACAACCACCCUGAAUGCACCAAUCUCAUCUGACCUGGCAAGCUAAGCAGAGUUGGGCCUGCUUAGGUCUUGGAUGGGGGACCCGCUUUGAUAAUGUAGAUAUUAAAGCA
ensembl:rRNA 5S_rRNA 5S ribosomal RNA